rnacentral:sRNA from 1 species
AGCAGUGUCCCCAAGGAUGGAGAAGGCUAUAUGCAGAUGUAGCUUGAAGGGGUCUGGAUGGGUAAGUGCUGGUGAGCGCUGUUCUCUCCAGAGUGGGGAGAGUCGUUAGGUAGAAGAUCAGAUAUUGACCUCUCCUGUCUCUCGGUGGGGAUGGGGUUCUUUCAGGGCCCUGAAGCGGGGGUGCCGCUGCGUGGAGGUGGAUGUAUGGGAUGGACCUAGUGGGGAACCUGUCGUUUACCAUGGACACACCCUGACCUCCCGCAUCCUGUUCAAAGAUGUCGUGGCCACAGUAGCACAGUAUGCCUUCCAGGAGCUUCGGAGGAGGAUCCUGGUGAAGGGGAAGAAGUUAACACUUGAGGAAGACCUGGAAUAUGAGGAAGAGGAAGCAGAGCCUGAGUUGGAGGAGUCAGAAUUGGCAUUGGAGUCCCAGUUUGAGACUGAGCCUGAGCCCCAGGAGCAGAACCUUCAGAGUAAGGACAAAAAGAAGAAAUCCAAGCCCAUCUUGUGUCCAGCCCUCUCUUCCCUGGUUAUCUACUUGAAGUCUGUCUCAUUCCG